GCCGGGCAUGGUGGCGCAUGCCUGUAGUCCCAGCUAUGUGGGAGGCUGAGUCAGGAGAAUUGCUUGAACCUGGGAGGCUGAGGUUGCUGUGAGCGGAGAUCAUGCCACUGUACUCCAGCCUGGGUGACAAAGUGAGACUCUAUCUCAA
rnacentral:SRP_RNA from 1 species